rnacentral:piRNA from 1 species
CUAGUUAUCUUGGUGCAGUGAA